GGGUUCUGUUGGCAGAGAGACAUGUGACAGCCGGGCCGAGCACUUGGAACACCCCAUCCUGUGCGCCCAGACUGUGGCCCUGCCCUCAGCAGUGUCAUGUUCACCCCCAAACUCCUCAUUACUGUCACUCCCAAGGCAGGCCAGCUUGGUCUGAUGGCCAUGUCAGCUACCCGGGGCUUACCUGGAAAGUUGUGUGGAGACUGAUGAAUGGAUCUUUGACCAUUUCCCUAUUUUUCUGCCAUCUUCCCCCCCUCCCUCUCUUUUCCCAUUCCCUCCAGUGCAUCUCUGUUUUUAGAAAUGAGCAUGGCCAUAAGAGAUUCAAAGAAGUACUUCUUUUUGAUGUCAUUAGAGUUCAAAUGCCUACAAGAUCAAAAAUGUGUGUGUCUCUCCGUGUGUAUGUCUGUGUGCAUACAUGCAGCUUAUGAACUCUCCUUUAGUUUCAUUGAUGCCAAUGUUUCAAGAAUUAGGAGGAAAACGAAAGACUCAAGGAUGAAGGAAGGAGGAGAAAGGAACCGAUUUUCUUUCUGAGCCCUGUGCAGUGCUGAGGACUCUGCUUGCAGACGAGGUAUGCAGCCCAGCCUGGCACAGGGCUGGGUCUGACCUGCUCUAUGCGUCAGCACCCUGCACUGCAGCCAACUGCCCAGGAACAAACCAGAGAGGUGCGUUUCAAGAAUUACACUUUUUUGGACAAAAAUGUGAUGUCAGAGAUGGAGUGAAACUGCUGCCUGCCAGGAAGGACCCAGCAGCACUUCCCUCUGGACGUCAUUGCCAAGGAGGAUCCACCACUGGGAGUCCUGGACUGAGGCUGUCCCCGGUAUGUGUCCAGCAUCAUCCUGCCAAAGAACAUCCUGAUCUCCAGCUCUGAUACUCAUUUCGGCUGACAUGAUGUUUGAGUUGCUCUCUUAGUUUAAGAAAGUGAAAACUAAACUCAACUAAAAUAAAAGUUUCUGUCUUGCCCUGGA